AAAAUGCCAAAAAGGUUAACGCAACGGUGCAUUUUGACUCUAGGAUACUCUCCGACGCUCCUCUGUUGUGCUUCGGACUGAUUCCAGCCGGUGUUUUCUCUCUGGCGUGCUCGUGCUCGGGCCCGUGAAAUCGCGCUUUGCAUUCAUUUCUCCUCACUGGUUCACACUCCCUGCCGAGUACAGGAGAUGGAAUUAAUUUGAUUCUUUCUUACUGAUUUCUGAUCUCGUCCGCCAAUUUUAUCCAAUUCGCUUCAUACGGUUGGUAUCUUCCUACUCUGUGAGUUACCCUUCUUGGAGGUCCUGUUGAAUGAGUUCAUCUAAAGAGGGUACAUUUUGGGGGUGCAUUUUAAUAACCCUUGGCUCUAUAUUCUUUGCUGGGUACUUUUCUGCUGCAAUUAUUUCCAAGCUUCUCCCGCCUUCCAAUGUAGUGAUGAUGUCUGCCUUGCAAAAUGACUGGUAUUACUGCUUCUUGGUGCCAUUGACUCUCCCCAUGGUUGUGGUUGCUGUAUACUGUCAUUGGCUAAGCAUGAAGAUAUUCAAGCAUGCUUAACUUCUAUUAUUCAUCAUCACUUCAUCAUUUGGAAGCAUGCAAGAUAUCUUUCUGCUUCAUAGAAAACGGACGUACCACUCUCUGAGGUCAGCGCUGGGUUGGCCCGGCUUCCCAAUUAACUUACACAUUCAUUCAAUUUGCCUCUGCUUUUAUGUCAAUUCAUUUGUUGCAUUCUGCCUUGUUGAUUUUAUAGACUUAUCAAAUAAUGGUUGUUUCACCUUGGAAGCCUGGCCACAACCUCUUUCAGAUUCAGGCCUCUUGUCAUUCACUUGUUUUCAUGCAUUAAUAUCAAUAUAGAAUUUAUAAGUUGUGAAUAAUGUAGCUCAAUUCUUAACCUUUGUGAAAUGUAUAGGAUUUCUUCUAAUGUUA